GACAGAGGGUGCAAACGUUGUUCGGAUUUACUGGGCGUAAAGCGUGUGUAGGCGGCUUUGCAUGUCGGAUGUGAAAGCCCACGGCUCAACCGUGGAAAGUGCAUCCGAAAACUGCAUCGCUGGAGUCCCGGAGAGGAAGGUGGGAAAUGCUUGGUGUAGAGGUGAAAAUUCGUAGAAUAUCAAGCAGAACACCUGCGGCGA
rnacentral:rRNA from 1 species